GCGGGCUCUGAUCUUCUCCCUUUCAUGAGCGGCUCAGAGAGAGCGGAGCGGAAAGGAAUUCCAGACCUUUGGCUCCGCGGUUCCGCAGCCCCGUCCCCAUCCCCGGCCGCGGGGCUCCGGGGAUGCGCGGCGCCUGAAAAUCCAGAUCGUACCCAAAAUCUGCUCCGAUUCCUGCCGCUCCCCGAGCUGCAGGAAAGCUUUUUCACCUCCCUUUUCUUUCCCUGCCCCGGGCAGGAAAGCUGCUCAGUUCAGGGACCUGAGUUCUCCGGGAACAAGCGCCCAUCUCCUAGAAAAUGGAUGUUUCGGGGGUUUGGCUGCAGCUCGCUCUGUUCCAGGCGGUUUCGGCUGCCCCGAGAGCUCGGUGUUCGCACCAAGGUGGAUUUUAGGAGGAGCGGGGAGAUGAGAGAUCUGCUGUGCUCGGGCAGGGAUGGAAUUCCCUGAGUUCUCGCUGCUGGAGCCCUUGGAUUUCUGGCUUCUCGGGCAAAAGGACUGAGAACCCCUUCAGAGAGCAGCUGCUCGGGCACACGGAACCUUCUCUCUUUGUAUUAGAAAGAACAGAAAAACCAAGCGGUUGAGACGAAUUUGGGUCCCCAGGCUGCCCUCAGAACUCGGCUGAGUCCGAGAUAAAAGCGCAUCCUCCGUGCUCCCAGCGCCCACAUCCCUCUGCCUGCCUCUGCUAAGGAAUAGCCCAGAAAAAUAACGGCAUUUGCAAUUAUUUUUUUGGUUUUUUUCCUAGUAGGAAUAGCAGAGAGCAGUGUUUUGGGCUGGCUCCAGGAGCGCUGGGUGCUGUUCCCCGUCCCCACUGCUCUCUUGCUUUGUUAGGCACCGUAAUUCCAUGUGAUUUUAUUUUUUUUUUUGUGGCAGGAGUGAGACGGUGCCCGGCCUGGCAGCUCCAGCACCAGCGGGAGCAGCGCUCUGUGCAGGGCCCCCUACGAGCCUGCGGUUGUUUUCAGCUGGUGAGGAUGCAAACAAACCGAAAAACCUCCUGGCACUCCUUCCGCAGAGUUAAAUAAAUAAAUUCGCUGCACACUCAAACGCAAUAGACACGCACAAAUACAGUUCACACGUGGGAUAGAUACGAAUUAUCUCCGGCCACCGAGCCCUCUGAUGCCCAGGGAGUGCAGUCAGCUACUCAAGGAGCAUCAGUGCAAAACCCCCACAAAUGUUAUAAUUAUUAGAGCCAGUAAUUACAAGGGCAGCGAGAGGACGAGGGGGAGAGGUCUCAAAGCGACAAGGGGCAGG